UGAGGAAUAUUGGUCAAUGGGCGAGAGCCUGAACCAACCAAGUCGCGUGAAGGAAGACUGCCUUAUGGGUUGUAAACUUCUUUUAUACAGGAAUAAAAAGGCUUACGUGUAGGCCAUUGCAAGUACUGUAUGAAUAAGCAUCGGCUAACUCCGUGCCAGCAGCCGCGGUAAUACGGAGGAUGCGAGCGUUAUCCGGAUUUAUUGGGUUUAAAGGGUGCGCAGGCGGGCUUUUAAGUCAGCGGUGAAAUCUGGACGCUUAACGUCCAAACUGCCGUUGAAACUGGGAGUCUUGAGUAUGGAUGAAGUAGGCGGAAUUCGUUGUGUAGCGGUGACAUGCAUAGAUAUAACGAGGAACUCCGAUUGCGUAGGCAGCUUACUAAGCCAUAACUGACGCUCAUGCACGAAAGCGUGGGGAUCAAACAGGAUUAGAUACCCUGGUAGUCCACGCCGUAAACGAUGAUUACUAGUUGUAUGCGAUAUGAUAGUAUGUGACUAAGCGAAAGCGAUAAGUAAUCCACCUGGGGAGUACGCCGGCAACGGUGAAACUCAAAGGAAUUGACGGGGGUCAUAGCUG
rnacentral:rRNA from 1 species